rnacentral:lncRNA from 1 species
AUGCAGCCAAAAGGUCGUGCUCAGCAGCCAGGAAACCCUCAGGUGAAGCCACAUCCUGCCCAAGCAUCUCGGCAGACGCACAAUGUACAUCUCCCCUCGUUGCUGAUAUUGAUUUUAAUCACAAAGGUCACUGACUUCUGCAAAACUCUUAAAAAGGAACAGCCUCUGAAGGCUGGCAAAGAAGGUGCCUGGCUACGACUCGAAUGUGGAUUGUCUUCAGGAACGGUGGCUUCUGCAGAAGGGACCCAUCCUCAGUGUCCAUUUCCCACCUGGGAAGCAGGCUUCGGUGCUUGAGAAGGGGGUGGGACCUGGGCCUCCUCUGCCUGAAAAGCCCCCCAGGACCUGGGGCAGGAGGAGGUCUCAUGGGGUCUCACAGGCUGCCCCUCCCCAACUUCCUUUUAAAACCCCUCCAUCAGAGAAAAGGGAACCCUCCUGCACUGUUGGUGGGAAUGUCAACUGUUACAACCGCUAUGGCAAACAGCAUGUAGGUUGUUCAGAAAACUGAAUAUAGAACUACCAUAUGAUCCAGCAAUCCCACUCUUGGGUAUAUAUCCGGACAAGACUUUCAUGGAAAAAGAUACACGCACCCCUAUGUCCAUUGCAGUACUAGUCACAAUGGCCAAGACAUGGAAACAACCUAAAUGUCGACAGGUGACUGAAUUAAGAAGAUGUAGGACCCAUACACAAUGGAAUAGUACUCAGCCAUGAAAAAACGAAAUCAUGCCAUUUGCAACAACAUGGAUGGCCCUAGAGAUUAUCAUACUGAGUCAGAAAGAGAAAGACAAGUACCAUAUGGCAUCACUUAUAUGGAAUCUAAAGUAGGGCACAGAUGAACCUACCUACAGAAUAGAAACAGACCCACAGACAUGGAGAUCAGACUUGUGGUUGCCAAGGAAGAGGGAGUGGGAUGGAUUGGGCAUUUGGAGUUAGCAGAUGCAAACUACUACAUUUAGAACGGAUAAGCGUUUAGCACAGGGAACUAUACUCAGUCUCCUGGGAUAGAACGUGAUAGAAGACAACACAAAAAAUAAUGUGUAUAUGUAUAUGUAUGACUGGGUCACUCUGCUGGACAGCAGAAAUUGACAGAACAUUGUAAAUCAACUAUAAUAAAAUUACUUUUUAAUUUUUAUUUUUUUUGUCA